rnacentral:rRNA from 1 species
UACGUAGGGGGCAAGCGUUGUCCGGAUUUAUUGGGCGUAAAGAGCGUGUAGGCGGCUUUACAGGUCCGUUGUGAAAACUCGAGGCUCAACCUCGAGACGCCGGUGGAAACCGUAAAGCUAGAGUCCGGAAGAGGAGAGUGGAAUUCCUGGUGUAGCGGUGAAAUGCGCAGAUAUCAGGAAGAACACCCGUGGCGAAGGCGGCUCUCUGGGACGUUACUGACGCUGAGACGCGAAAGCGUGGGGAGCAAACAGG